AGGACAGGGAGGGGAGCACUGGACCUCAGGAAGCCUUCAGGGGGAGGACACAGGACAGUGACAUCACAGGAUACCCCUCCCAUCAGGAAAAUCAAGGCCCAGAACUCACUCGGCUCUUCCCCAGGAGGACCAAGCCCUGAAUCAGAUGCAGCGCUGCCUGCCCCACUGUGCCAUGGGCCCCGGGCUCCUCUGCUGGGCACUGCUUUGCCUCCUGGGAGCAGGCCCAGUGCAGGCUGGAGUCACCCAAAGUCCCACACACCUGAUCAAAAUGAGAGGACAGCAAGUAACUCUGAGAUGCUCUCCUUUCUCUGGGCACACCAGCGUGUCCUGGUACCAACAGUCCCUGGGUCAGGGGCCCCAAUUUAUCUUCGAAUAUGCUAAUGAGUUAAGGAGAUCAAAAGGAAACUUCCCUGAUCGAUUCUCAGGUCGCCAGUUCCGUGACUAUCACUCUGAGAUGAAUGUGAGUGCCUUGGAGCUGGGGGACUCGGCCCUGUAUCUCUGUGCCAGCAGGUUGGCACAGCCCUGCAGAGUCACUGGAACUCUGUGCACUAAUCUCUCUGCUUCCGUAUAUGGCAGUCUCAGACCAGACAGCUGUGAGAACCUGGGGCCUUCAGGGGGAAAGAAAAACAACUUCAGGACUCUGAACAAGGCUGGCGGAAACAAGGACAGGAGGAUCUGCUCAGAGGAUGGUGCUGCUUCAAGAUGUUCACGGCAAAAUUACUUUCUUUGUCGGAUGCUGUACACCAUAGUGAUAGAGUAGCUGGCACUCUCCUUUUUAGAAAAGGAAAUUCAUUUUGGUGUCAGGAUUGUUCGACAGAUGUGUAGUAUAGAAGGUAAAAUCUCAAGGGUUGGCUUUAUGUAAUUAAGGGAGAGGAAAUUGAGAUUUGGUUUGGAGAAAUUUGAGGAGACAGAACAUGAUUAAAGAUUAUUAAAAAAAUAGAAGUAGAGCUACCAGAUGAUAAAAAAUUGUGUUCUCUGCAACAUAACCUGUCAAAGUUUUCAAUUGCUAGAAAAUAUGCAGCAAGACCUUGUAGCAACUGGCAUCACCCCAAGGCCAGUCUAGGAUGGUCAUCACCACGUAGCCACUUGCCCCGUGGGAGGGCCCUGGGGCUGGUUCCAGUGUCUUCCUUCUGGACUUAGAUCUCAAUUCUCAAAACAGAGGAAUUCAUUUUACUGCUGAAGGUAAACAGAAAAAGGCUCUCCCAUUUCCCCAAAGAUACAUCCUCCUUCCCUUGUAUCUCUUUCUGACACUCACCGCCCAGAUCUAUUACCUUCUGUGAUCAAACACCUCUUUGAAUAUUUCCUAAAACUCUGCAGCCUUUACAUUCUCUGCAUUUGUGCUCAGUAUUUCCAUGUCUUGGAAGGACCUUUUGUCUCCCAAGAAACAGACAGACUCUGCUUAUCGGUCAAGGAUGGGCUCACACCUGCUUUCCUCUUCGCUUCUUACCAUGACAUUCCCCAGCAUUGUACUAUACCACCAUCUUUAUUAUUUUCCUAGGAAAAGUCAAGUAUUAAUUAAAUAUAUAAUGAAAGUUAUUUGAUGUUGUGAAAUGUAUGUUAAUUCCUGCUUAUAUAGAGUUCUGGAAUAUUAUUACUUUUAUUAAUGUGAGGGAUAUUAUUAACCACUAACUAUUCCUGGUUAGAGAUCAAAGUCACUUCUGCGUAGUGAUAGCAAAUGUGAGAACCAACUGAAUCUGUUUGAAUUACAGCUGGCAGUGUUAUUCAUUUCAAAAUUUUUAUAACUUAGAAGUAACUUUUUAAAAUCUAGAAACCCUUUUGUAAAAUGCACUGUCUAAAAUUUAGUAAUAAUGAACCUAAAUACAAAAUAUGAAAACAUAUGGGUGUAAUUAACCGGGAUUAGCUGUGGAAUAUAGGGUUUCCAGGCUGGGUCUCCUUGAUAUCAUCACACUGUUUAAUCGUAUGGCCUUCAUAAUUCUAGCUGGUCUCUACCAUCUUAACAUAUUACUUGCAAUUAUGUAACAAUUGUUUAUUUUGUAAUCAAAAUGUUGGUUCAUGUGUCCUUCGACUCCAUUGGUGAAGGGUGGAUUUGAAAAUCAACCAUAAAUGGACUCUUCUGGGAAAGCAUGGAGGGGGUGUGUAAGAGAGUGGGGGUGGCAGGAGUGGGGGCAUCUCUGUUUCUGAUUUGGACAAUUUGAGCAUAUCACGUCAGGAGGUAUGAAUCCGUGAGACUGUAGACUGUUGGCCACUUGGAGGCGCUGUGGCUCCACAGUGCUGCAGAGAACUCAGUGGAGGGGUGGGAGAGUGGCCAAGAGAGGAGGGCUGAAGGGGAUGCCUGGCUGCCUGCUGGCAUCAGAGGGGUGGAUGGAAUUCCCUGAGUGGGGCCUGGACUUGUAGAGUUAAGCACAAACUCUCAUUGCCUUGGAAGAGUUGGGGUGCCAGAGGCCUCCGUUUGCACCAAGAAGGGAGUGUCUCUGCUGCUGCACAGGCAGUGGAGGGUGAAGGGGCUGGGGUGGCAAGGGCUGGGGAAUCAGUGUCAGGGCAGGGACAGGGCGGGCAGAGGAAAGUAAGGUGUGAUGUGGGUAUGUUGGGACUGUGUUCAGUCCUCCUCACCUUUAGCUUCUGGCCUGUGCAAGACAGGAAUAGUACAUGGAGUAGCAGAACCUGAGGCCUGCCAAAGAGUACAGUGGGCUGGAGUGGUCUGCAGGGGAAAGUAUGUCAGUGCGGUGACAUCACAGGUCAAUGCUCCUAUCAGGAAGAAGGGAGCUUGGGAACUGCAGAAUGCUUACUACAGAGACACCAGCCCCAAGCUAGGAGAUCCUGCCAUGGGCUUCAGGCUCCUCUGCUGUGUGGUCUUUUGUCUCCUGGGAGCAGGUGAGUCCUGGGCACAGCUUGAAAGUCUCUGGUCUUCAUUUCUUGUCCCUGAAAUACAUGCGGGCCAAUGAUGGCUUCAGCAGGAGGCUUUCUUCUGUGCCUUAUGGUUAACUUUUGUCUUCUGACACACAGGCCCAGUGGAUUCUGGAGUCACACAAACCCCAAAGCACCUGAUCACAGCAACAGGACAGCGAG